GGCCACAUCACGUUGAAACACCAGGUCCUGUAUGAUUGCUGAAGUUAAGCAAUGUCAAACCUGGUCAGUACCUAGAUGGGUGAUUGCUUGGGAAUAUCAGGUGCUGAC